CGUGCGGGUAACGUGUAGCUACGGCGAGUGAGCGGUAAAAGCUCAAAUUUGAAAUCUGGUACUUUCAGUGCCCGAGUUGUAAUUUGUAGAAUUUGUCUUUGAUUAGGUCCUUGUCUAUGUUCCUUGGAACAGGACGUCAUAGAGGGUGAGAAUCCCGUUUGGCGAGGAUACCUUUUCUCUGUAAGACUUUUUCGAAGAGUCGAGUUGUUUGGGAAUGCAGCUCAAAGUGGGUGGUAAAUUCCAUCUAAAGCUAAAUAUUGGCGAGAGACCGAUAGCGAACAAGUACAGUGAUGGAAAGAUGAAAAGAACUUUGAAAAGAGAGUGAAAAAGUACGUGAAAUUGUUGAAAGGGAAGGGCAUUUGAUCAGACAUGGUGUUUUUUGCAUGCACUCGCCUCUCGUGGGCUUGGGCCUCUCAAAAAUUUCACUGGGCCAACAUCAAUUCUGGCAGCAGGAUAAAUCAUUAAGAAUGUAGCUACUUCGGUAGUGUUAUAGCUUUUUGGAAUACUGUUAGCCGGGAUUGAGGACUGCGCUUCGGCAAGGAUGUUGGCAUAAUGGUUAAAUGCCGCCCGUCUUGAACCACGGGACCAAAGUG
rnacentral:rRNA from 1 species